rnacentral:rRNA from 1 species
UUUUUCCUACGGGGGGCAGCAGUGGGGAAUAUUGCACAAUGGGGGAAACCCUGAUGCAGCAACGCCGCGUGAGUGAAGAAGUAUUUCGGUAUGUAAGGCUCUAUCAGCAGGGAAGAAGAAAGACGGUACCUGACUAAGAAGCCCCGGCUAACUACGUGCCAGCAGCCGCGGUAAUACGUAGGGGGCAAGCGUUAUCCGGAUUUACUGGGUGUAAAGGGAGCGUAGACGGAAAGGCAAGUCAGAAGUGAGAGCCCAAGGCUCAACCAUGGGACUGCUUUUGAAACUGUCAAACUAGAGUACGGGAG